UACGGAGGGGGCUAGCGUUGUUCGGAAUUACUGGGCGUAAAGCGCGCGUAGGCGGACCUGCAAGUCGGGGGUGAAAGCCCGAGGCUCAACCUCGGAACUGCCUUCGAUACUGCGGGUCUCGAGUCCGGAAGAGGUGAGUGGAACUCCGAGUGUAGAGGUGAAAUUCGUAGAUAUUCGGAAGACCACCAGUGGCGAAGGCGGCUCACUGGUCCGGUACUGACGCUGAGGUGCGAAAGCGUGGGGAGCAAACAGG
rnacentral:rRNA from 1 species